AACGAACGCUGGCGGCAGGCUUAACACAUGCAAGUCGAACGGAUCCUUCGGGAUUAGUGGCAGACGGGUGAGUAGCGCGUGGGAACGUACCCUUUGCUACGGAAUAACUCAGGGAAACUUGAGCUAAUACCGUAUGUGCCCUACGGGGGAAAGAUUUAUCGGCAAAGGAUCGGCCCGCGUUGGAUUAGCUAGUUGGUGGGGUAAUGGCCUACCAAGGCGACGAUCCAUAGCUGGUCUGAGAGGAUGAUCAGCCACACUGGGACUGAGACACGGCCCAGACUCCUACGGGAGGCAGCAGUGGGGAAUAUUGGACAAUGGGCGCAAGCCUGAUCCAGCCAUGCCGCGUGAGUGAUGAAGGUCUUAGGAUUGUAAAGCUCUUUCACCGGUGAAGAUAAUGACGGUAGCCGGAGAAGAAGCCCCGGCUAACUUCGUG
rnacentral:rRNA from 1 species